AUUGAACGCUGGCGGCAGGCUUAACACAUGCAAGUCGAGCGGGGUGAUGGUGCUUGCACUAUCACUUAGCGGCGGACGGGUGAGUAAUGCUUAGGAAUCUGCCUAUUAGUGGGGGACAACAUCUCGAAAGGGGUGCUAAUACCGCAUACGUCCUACGGGAGAAAGCAGGGGAUCACUUGUGACCUUGCGCUAAUAGAUGAGCCUAAGGCGGAUUAGCUAGUUGGUGGGGGAAAGGCCUAACAAGGCGACGAUCUGUAGCGGGUCUGAGAGGAUGAUCCGCCACACGGGGACUGGGACAAGGCCCAGACUCCUACGGGAGGCAGCAGUGGGGAAUAUUGGACAAUGGGGGGAACCCUUAUCCAGCCAUGCCGCGUGUGUGAAGAAGGCCUUAUGGUUGUAAAGCACUUUAAGCGAGGAGGAGGCUCUUUUGGUUAAUACCCAAGAUGAGUGGACGUUACUCGCAGAAUAAGCACCGGCUAACUCUGUGCCAGCAGCCGCCGUAA
rnacentral:rRNA from 1 species